AGUGAACGCUGGCGGUAGGCCUAACACAUGCAAGUCGAACGGCAGCACAGGAGAGCUUGCUCUCUGGGUGGCGAGUGGCGGACGGGUGAGGAAUACAUCGGAAUCUACUUUUUCGUGGGGGAUAACGUAGGGAAACUUAAGCUAAUACCGCAUACGACCUACGGGUGAAAGCAGGGGAUCUACGGACCUUGCGCGUACGGAUGAACAGAUGUCGGAUUAGCUAGUUGGCGGGGUAAAGGCCCACCAAGGCGACGAUCCGUAGCUGGUCUGAGAGGAUGAUCAGCCACACUGGAACUGAGACACGGUCCAGACUCCUACGGGAGGCAGCAGUGGGGAAUAUUGGACAAUGGGCGCAAGCCUGAUCCAGCCAUACCGCGUGGGUGAAGAAGGCCUUCGGGUUGUAAAGCCCUUUUGUUGGGAAAGAAAUCCAGCUGGCUAAUACCCGGUUGGGAUGACGGUACCCAAAGAAUAAGCACCGGCUAACUUCGUGCCAGCAGCCGCGGUAAGAC
rnacentral:rRNA from 1 species